GCGGGUGUAGCUCAGUGGUAGAGCCCCAGCCCUCCAAGCUGGUUGCGAGGGUUCGAUCCCCUUCACCCGCUCCA
rnacentral:tRNA from 1 species